GGUUAAGCGACUAAGCGUACACGGUGGAUGCCCUGGCAGUCAGAGGCGAUGAAGGGCGUGCUAAUCUGCGAUAAGCGCCGGUAAGGUGAUAUGAACCGUUAUAACCGGCGAUACCCGAAUGGGGAAACCCAGUGUGACUCGUCACACUAUCAUUAACUGAAUCCAUAGGUUAAUGAGGCGAACCGGGGGAACUGAAACAUCUAAGUACCCCGAGGAAAAGAAAUCAACCGAGAUUCCCCCAGUAGCGGCGAGCGAACGGGGAGGAGCCCAGAGCCUGAAUCAGCAUGUGUGUUAGUGGAAGCGUCUGGAAAGGCGCGCGAUACAGGGUGACAGCCCCGUACACAAAAGCGCAUGUGCUGUGAGCUCGAUGAGUAGGGCGGGACACGUGGUAUCCUGUCUGAAUAUGGGGGGACCAUCCUCCAAGGCUAAAUACUCCUGACUGACCGAUAGUGAACCAGUACCGUGAGGGAAAGGCGAAAAGAACCCCGGCGAGGGGAGUGAAAAAGAACCUGAAACCGUGUACGUACAAGCAGUGGGAGCACCCUUUGGGGUGUGACUGCGUACCUUUUGUAUAAUGGGUCAGCGACUUAUAUUCUGUAGCAAGGUUAACCGAAUAGGGGAGCCGGAGGGAAACCGAGUCUUAAUUGGGCGUUAAGUUGCAGGGUAUAGACCCGAAACCCGGUGAUCUAGCCAUGGGCAGGUUGAAGGUUGGGUAACACUAACUGGAGGACCGAACCGACUAAUGUUGAAAAAUUAGCGGAUGACCUGUGGCUGGGGGUGAAAGGCCAAUCAAACCGGGAGAUAGCUGGUUCUCCCCGAAAGCUAUUUAGGUAGCGCCUCGUGAAUUCAUCUCCGGGGGUAGAGCACUGUUUCGGCUAGGGGGCCAUCCCGGCUUACCAACCCGAUGCAAACUGCGAAUACCGGAGAAUGUUAUCACGGGAGACACACGGCGGGUGCUAACGUCCGUCGUGAAGAGGGAAACAACCCAGACCGCCAGCUAAGGUCCCAAAGUCAUGGUUAAGUGGGAAACGAUGUGGGAAGGCCCAGACAGCCAGGAUGUUGGCUUAGAAGCAGCCAUCAUUUAAAGAAAGCGUAAUAGCUCACUGGUCGAGUCGGCCUGCGCGGAAGAUGUAACGGGGCUAAACCAUGCACCGAAGCUGCGGCAGCGAACGUAUCACCCAAGACAACUUUACGGAGUUGACGAUUGACGGAGCGAAGCGACGUCAAAGCGUUCAUUAAAGUCGAGUUGGCUUAGGGAUACGUUCGUUGGGUAGGGGAGCGUUCUGUAAGCCUGUGAAGGUGGCCUGUGAGGGUUGCUGGAGGUAUCAGAAGUGCGAAUGCUGACAUAAGUAACGAUAAAGCGGGUGAAAAGCCCGCUCGCCGGAAGACCAAGGGUUCCUGUCCAACGUUAAUCGGGGCAGGGUGAGUCGACCCCUAAGGCGAGGCCGAAAGGCGUAGUCGAUGGGAAACGGGUUAAUAUUCCCGUACUUGGUGUUACUGCGAAGGGGGGACGGAGAAGGCUAUGUUGGCCGGGCGACGGUUGUCCCGGUUUAAGCGUGUAGGUGUGUGUUCCAGGUAAAUCCGGUUCACUUUAACACUGAGGCGUGACGACGAGGCACUACGGUGCUGAAGCAACAAAUGCCCUGCUUCCAGGAAAAGCCUCUAAGCAUCAGGUAACAUCAAAUCGUACCCCAAACCGACACAGGUGGUCAGGUAGAGAAUACCAAGGCGCUUGAGAGAACUCGGGUGAAGGAACUAGGCAAAAUGGUGCCGUAACUUCGGGAGAAGGCACGCUGACACGUAGGUGAAGUGAUUUACUCAUGGAGCUGAAGUCAGUCGAAGAUACCAGCUGGCUGCAACUGUUUAUUAAAAACACAGCACUGUGCAAACACGAAAGUGGACGUAUACGGUGUGACGCCUGCCCGGUGCCGGAAGGUUAAUUGAUGGGGUCAGCGCAAGCGAAGCUCCUGAUCGAAGCCCCGGUAAACGGCGGCCGUAACUAUAACGGUCCUAAGGUAGCGAAAUUCCUUGUCGGGUAAGUUCCGACCUGCACGAAUGGCGUAAUGAUGGCCAGGCUGUCUCCACCCGAGACUCAGUGAAAUUGAACUCGCUGUGAAGAUGCAGUGUACCCGCGGCAAGACGGAAAGACCCCGUGAACCUUUACUAUAGCUUGACACUGAACAUUGAGCCUUGAUGUGUAGGAUAGGUGGGAGGCUUUGAAGUGUGGACGCCAGUCUGCAUGGAGCCGACCUUGAAAUACCACCCUUUAAUGUUUGAUGUUCUAACGUGGACCCGUAAUCCGGGUUGCGGACAGUGUCUGGUGGGUAGUUUGACUGGGGCGGUCUCCUCCUAAAGAGUAACGGAGGAGCACGAAGGUUGGCUAAUCCUGGUCGGACAUCAGGAGGUUAGUGCAAUGGCAUAAGCCAGCUUGACUGCGAGCGUGACGGCGCGAGCAGGUGCGAAAGCAGGUCAUAGUGAUCCGGUGGUUCUGAAUGGAAGGGCCAUCGCUCAACGGAUAAAAGGUACUCCGGGGAUAACAGGCUGAUACCGCCCAAGAGUUCAUAUCGACGGCGGUGUUUGGCACCUCGAUGUCGGCUCAUCACAUCCUGGGGCUGAAGUAGGUCCCAAGGGUAUGGCUGUUCGCCAUUUAAAGUGGUACGCGAGCUGGGUUUAGAACGUCGUGAGACAGUUCGGUCCCUAUCUGCCGUGGGCGCUGGAGAACUGAGGGGGGCUGCUCCUAGUACGAGAGGACCGGAGUGGACGCAUCACUGGUGUUCGGGUUGUCAUGCCAAUGGCACUGCCCGGUAGCUAAAUGCGGAAGAGAUAAGUGCUGAAAGCAUCUAAGCACGAAACUUGCCCCGAGAUGAGUUCUCCCUGAGACUUAGAGUCUCCUGAAGGAACGUUGAAGACGACGACGUUGAUAGGCCGGGUGUGUAAGCGCAGCGAUGCGUUGAGCUAACCGGUACUAAUGAACCGUGAGGCUUAACCUU
rnacentral:rRNA from 1 species